rnacentral:rRNA from 1 species
AUGCCCUCUGCAGUGGGUUAUCAACCUACUCUUAGUACAUAAAUGGGUUCUUUGCAAGAAAGAAUUGCUUCUACUAAAAAGGGAUCUAUAACUUCGAUUCAAGCAGUUUAUGUACCUGUAGACGAUUUGACCGACCCUGCCCCUGGCACAACAUUUGCACAUUUGGAUGCUACUACCGUACACUCCAGAGGAUUAGCUUCCAAGGGUAUUUAUCCAGCAGUAGAUCCUUUAGAUUCAACCUCGACUAUGUUACAGCCUCGGAUCAUUGGCAACGGACAUUAUGAAACUGCGCAAAGAGUUAAGGAAACUUUACAACGUUACAAAGAACUUCAGGACAUUAUUGUAAUUCUUGGCUUGGAUGAAUUAUUAGAAGAGGAUCGUUUAACUGUAGCAAGAGCAAGAAAAAUUGAGUGUUUCUUAUCACAACCAUUCUUUGUGGCAGGAGUUUUUACUGGUUCUCCAGGAAAGUAUGUUUCUCUUGCGGAAACUAUUAGGGGAUUUCAACUAAUCCUUUCCAGAGAAUUAGACGGCCUACCUGAGUAG